UACGUAGGGUGCAAGCGUUAAUCGGAAUUACUGGGCGUAAAGCGUGCGCAGGCGGUCUUGCAAGCCAGAUGUGAAAUCCCCGGGCUCAACCUGGGAACUGCAUUUGUGACUGCAAGGCUGGAGUACGGCAGAGGGGGAUGGAAUUCCGCGUGUAGCAGUGAAAUGCGUAGAUAUGCGGAGGAACACCGAUGGCGAAGGCAAUCCCCUGGGCCUGUACUGACGCUAAUGCACGAAAGCGUGGGGAGCAAACAGG
rnacentral:rRNA from 1 species